rnacentral:ncRNA from 1 species
UGAUACGCAAUGAUGGGAAUAAGUAGCUUGUGUACCCCGUAACGUCCAGAGAGCCGAUGGGUGGUGAAAAUCGGCACGGCACGCAGACGAAUUACCUCCCGGAGCUUUUGCUGUGAACCCAAGUAGCAGCAAACGGUAAGAGCCGUUAUUUCAAAAGAGUGAAGGACAGCUUUGUCCUUAAUUUGGGUGGUACCGCGCGAACAGCGUCCCUGCA